UUUUCUAGGGCUGCACCUGUGGCAUAUGAGGGUUCCCAGGCUAGGGGUCUAAUUGGAACUGUAGCUACCGGCCUACACCAGAGCCACAGGAACGCGGGAUCCGAGCCGUGUCUGCGACCUACGCCACAGCUCACGGCAACGCCGGAUCCUUAACCCACUGAGCAAGGCCAGGGAUCAAACCCGCAACCUCAUGGUUCCCAGUCAGAUUCGUUAACCACUGCGCCAGACGGGAACUCUUCAAUAGAAGCUUUCUGGAGCUGAUACAUCCUGUCCAUGGUACCUUAGAGGGGCUCCUAACUCUAGCCUGGACCUGACCCUGUGGUUUUUAGUCCCUGAUAUCCAGCUUUUCUUUCAGUGUUCUGAAACACCCCUAACUCACAAAUUCCCUUUUUGCUUAACUGCACCUGAGUUGGUUUGUAUUGCCCACCACACUACCCUGUAUUCUAACUGGCAUUCAUGGUACCAUUGAAUGGCUAGACCCCAAAAAUUUAAUCACAGGGACAAAGAGCAGUACUGAAAGCUUAGGGCCUAAAGUUAGGCACAGUCACUGGCAUGGAGCAUUCAUUUAUUUCAUAAACAUCAUUCACUGAGUGUCUUUAUGACCCUGGAGCUCUAAUAGAUCUUUCCCCUGAUUUUUCUUUGCAAGAGCUAUAAUACACAGCAAUUACAAGUAUGACACCCACUUUACAGAUGAGACAAUUAAGGCUCAAGGAAGUCAGGCAGCUUGCCUAUGAACACAGAUACAGUGAGUGGCGUAGUUAGGACUGAAAAUCAUGUCUUUCUCAGGCCAAAGUAAUUGCUCUCACCAAUGUACGCCACAGCCUCCAAUGGACUGGGGGCUCAGCUCACAGCAGGGCUGAGAAGUCUAGUUGCCAGAGCUUAGGCAAAAGGAAACAGAAAACUUGAAUGGAAGCUGAAUUCCAUGUGAGUUAAACCAGUUCAAGGAUCAGCACAACAACCUAGUAAGUUAUUAUGUAGUGCACUAUUCAGUAACUUUUUCAAUUAAACAGAAAUUACCUCAUUCAAGGUGAAAUGUUGGCUGAGUCAAUAAAGGUUCAAGGAAUCAGCUGAAUUGUCCCAGUUCCCCUAGCUUCCAUGCUCCAAGUCCCUCCAAUCUUCUGCCAUCAUGGUCUGACAUCCACAUGCAACCUCCUGUCCUAAAGACAGCCUUCUUAUGUUUUACACGCAUAUGAAUCCAUUCAUAAUAAACUUAAAAUCCACUAGAGCUUAGAAGGCCACCCCAAGACAUUUAAAUCAAAGAGCAGUGUAUGAUAUCGCAUGACCAAACACAAUCAAUUUUUCUUCUCUUAAUCUUGUGAACAGCAGAUGUUUUUGACCUUACAUACCCAUUUCGACCUUCUUUUGCUGCCAUUUUAAAUAAGCUUUGCCUGGUGCUUGGUCCAUGUAGUUGAGUGAAGCCAAUGUUAAUUCCUCCUGUCUUCUUAGGUGCAAAAUGGGCAUGUGAUUCAGGUUGCCAAACAAAUGCUUUCCAUCCCACUGGAUACAAUAUUUGGUUCAAGGCUGGCCACCCAAACUUGGUCUCAUGUGACUCAGUACUGGAGCUUUUGCUGAACCCAGGAUAUGAAGAAGCCCUCCUUCCCUUGGGAUUACUAGCCACAAGGAAGACAAAAUCCUAGAGCUGCCU
ensembl:lncRNA